UGGUGACGAUCCUUGCGAUCCGAGCUGGCGAGGGUGGCACAGACCAGGGGGUAGCGACUGCUUACCAAAAGCACAGCAGCGUGCGAAGCCGCAAGGCGCUGUAUACGCUGUGACGCCUGCCCAAUGCUUGAAGGUCACGGGGAACGGUUAACCCUUCGGGGUGAAGCUGUGAACCUAAGCCCAAGUGAAUGGCGGCCGUAACUAUAACGGUCCUAAGGUAGCGAAAUUCCUUGUCGGGUAAGUUCCGACCUGCACGAAUGGCGUAACGACUUCCCCACUGUCUCAACCAUAGACCCGGCGAAAUUGAAGUACGAGUAAAGAUGCUCGUUAGCUGCGGAAGGACGGAAAGACCCCGUGAACCUUUACUAUAACUUGGUGUUGAGUCUUGAAUUGCGUUGUGUAGGAUAGGUGGGAGACUUGGAAGCAUUGGCGCCAGCCAGUGUGGAGUCAUCGUUGAAAUACCACCCUGCGUAAUUUGGGGCUCUAACCUGGGUCCGUGAUCCGGAUCAGGGACAGCGCCAGGCGGGUAGUUUGACUGGGGCGGUCGCCUCCUAAAACGUAACGGAGGCGCUCAAAGGUUCCCUCAGCCUGGUUGGCAAUCAGGCGUCGAGUGCAAUGGCACAAGGGAGCUUGACUGCGAGACCUACAAGUCGAGCAGGUGCGAAAGCAGGACAUAGUGAUCCGGCGGUUGCGUGUGGAAGCGCCGUCGCUCAACGGAUAAAAAGGUACCCCGGGGAUAACAGGCUCAUCUUCCCCAAGAGUCCAUAUCGACGGGAAGGUUUGGCACCUCGAUGUCGGCUCAUCGCAUCCUGGGGCGGUAGCACGUCCCAAGGGUUGGGCUGUUCGCCCAUUAAAGCGGUACGCGAGCUGGGUUUAGAACGUCGCGAGACAGUUCGGUCCCUAUCCGCCGCAGCCGUAAGGAGCUUGAGGGAAGCUGUCCCUAGUACGAGAGGACCGGGACGGACGCAGCUCUCGUGUGCCAGUUGUCCUGCCAAGGGCACUGCUGGUUAGCGACCUGCGGAAGGGAUAAGCGCUGAAGGCAUCUAAGUGCGAAGCCCGUCCAAGAUGAGGCUCC
rnacentral:rRNA from 1 species